AGAGUUUGAUCAUGGCUCAGAAUCAACGCUGGCGGCGUGCCUAACACAUGCAAGUCGAACGCGAAAGGGGAGCAAUCCUGAGUAGAGUGGCAAACGGGUGAGUAACACGUGGGUGACUGCCUUCGAGUGGGGGAUAACGUUCCGAAAGGAACGCUAAUACCGCAUGACAUCCUGCUUUUGGAAAAGCGGAGAUCAAAGCUGGGGAUUCGCAAGAACCUAGCGCUUGAAGAGGGGCCCGCGCCUGAUUAGCUAGUUGGUGAGGUAACGGCUCACCAAGGCUACGAUCAGUAUCCGGCCUGAGAGGGCGGACGGACACACUGGGACUGAGACACGGCCCAGACUCCUACGGGAGGCAGCAGUGGGGAAUUGUUCGCAAUGGGCGCAAGCCUGACGACGCAACGCCGCGUGGAGGAUGAAGAUUUUCGGAUCGUAAACUCCUGUCGAGUGGGAAGAAUAGCUUUCGGGUAAAUAUCCCGAGAGUCUGACGGUACCACUAAAGGAAGCCCCGGCUAACUCCGUGCCAGCAGCCGCGGUAAUACGGGGGGGGCAAGCGUUGUUCGGAAUUACUGGGCGUAAAGGGCUCGUAGGCGGCCCACUAAGUCAGAUGUGAAAUCCCCAGGCUCAACCUGGGAACUGCAUCUGAUACUGGUGGGCUUGAAUUCGGGAGAGGGAUGCAGAAUUCCAGGUGUAGCGGUGAAAUGCGUAGAUAUCUGGAGGAAUACCGGUGGCGAAGGCGGCAUCCUGGACCGACAUUGACGCUGAGGAGCGAAAGCUAGGGGAGCAAACGGGAUUAGAUACCCCGGUAGUCCUAGCCCUAAACGAUGAAUGCUUGGUGUAACGGGUAUCGAUCCCUGUUGCGCCGAAGCUAACGCAUUAAGCAUUCCGCCUGGGGAGUACGGUCGCAAGGCUGAAACUCAAAUGAAUUGACGG
rnacentral:rRNA from 1 species